GGAAUGGGGCAGAGAAAGAAAAUGACCUACUGUGGGGGCACCUGCCAUUGAAUUACUGCUGAUGGUUGCCGCAUGGGAAUGCCAGCUACUGUUCUCAGAUAUUCUGUGUCCACCAGAAGCUGGACAUCUGGAUUUUUGCUGGCCCUUCCAAGCUCUCCUCAGUGAAGUCAUCUGGACAAUGGACUGUUCCCUCCCCAGGCCUGUGUCUGUGCUGUGUAUGUUUCAUCACCACGAUUCACACAACAAGUAUUCCUCACUCUGUGGAAGGUGAUUACCCACAUAGUCCAAGGAAGUUGCUACAGCUUGGGCCAUCAUCCAUGUUCCAGGCAGCAGAUAGAGUCAGGAGAAAGAAGAGCACGCCCUUUCCAUUUUAAGGAGACUUCCCAGCACUUCUACAGGUCAUUUCUGCUUAUAUCUUCAUCUGUUUUUUGUUUUGUUUUGUUUUGUUUUGAGACGGAGUCUUACUCUGUCAUCCAGGCUGGAGUCCAGUGGUGCAAACUCGGCUCACUGAAACCUCUGCCUCCCGGGUUCAAGAGAUUCU
rnacentral:lncRNA from 10 species